rnacentral:rRNA from 1 species
UACAGAGGUCUCAAGCGUUGUUCGGAUUCAUUGGGCGUAAAGGGUGCGUAGGUGGCGCUGUAAGUCGGGUGUGAAAUUUCGGAGCUUAACUCCGAAACUGCAUUCGAUACUGCGGUGCUUGAGGACUGGAGAGGAGACUGGAAUUCGAUGGUGUAGCAGUGAAAUGCGUAGAGAUCAUGAGGAAGACCAGUGGCGAAGGCGGGUCUCUGGACAGUUCCUGACACUGAGGCACGAAGGCCAGGGAGCAAACGGG